GAAAAACAUUUUUGGACCUUAUAUCACCUUCACCGACUCAGAGCAGAUGCUCAGCGGUUUGACGCGGCCUUUUACCUUCAUAUCCAUUCAGGCUAAACUACAGAGGCUGCUGGCCCGGUUGGCUUCCCAGACGGCUUCAUCUGAAGAACGUGGCCUGAAACAGAAGUCUGCAAACCGGCGGGUGAAAUCGGUGCCGUCGUCAACUGUUUAUUGUAUAGUGUCUGGUCGCCUGUCAGUGUCGCUGCAUCCCGUUUUCCCUGUCUAGGUGCUGUAACUUCCCUGGAAGCACAGGAAGCACCUGAUGAUGAUGAUGAUGAUGGUGGUGGUGGCCUCUGGAGGCAGAAAUGUCAUGCUGUGCCUCUGAGGUGGUUGCAACCACAACAAUGGAGCCCUCCUCCGCCUCUUCGUCCUUUUCCAGCAGCUGGACGACACAGGGCGUGACGUCAAACGGUAUCCUCUCAGCCACGGCUUCGGCCGUCUGUGCCGGCAGUCCUGGGCUUGAGCCUCUGGUGGACGGGACCUCCUCCCUCAGCGGGGACGGGGUCAAGGAGCACGGCUCCGGCUCCAAGGGAUGUCUUCAGACUCGGGCUCUGGCUCCUCUCCGACCGUCUCCACCACACCUCCAACCAUUUCAGCCAUCUGUCCGCUCAGCUGCCCGACAGUCUCCACCUGAAACCAGUUAGGUUUCCUGAUUUAGUUGCUUGUCGGAAACUGGAAGAUGAUUCAAGAGGCCACGUGAGUUUGAUUACAGACUGACAUCAUUUUCAAUUCACGUCACAGUCACAGGAAGAAAGAAACAGACAAAGAAGACAGGGAGGAAAGAAGAAAGGUGGACAAGCAGAAAAUGAGCUCCCCUGUCCCCACCACAGUUUGGUUUGCCUGUGCAGGACAUCAGAGACAGAAGACAGAUACUUAGCAGGCGAGUGCCUACGUGGUGUGCCUCGACCUGCGCCGCUCCCCACAGGUCGGCUAGGCGGGGGUGGGUGGGAGGACCCAGACUGUGGAUGGUGCUGUUGGGAGUGGCUUGAAGGGAAUGGGAGGCACUAUGUGGCCUGUGCUCCAUGGCCUGCAGUCAGAAGCUGUUGCUGCUGGUAGUGGUGAAGGUGUUGGAGCUGUUGGAGCUGGUUGUGCUGCUGCAGGGUGAGAUGAGCCUGGUGCUGCUGAAGGUAACUGCCUACCGUCCCCUCGUACCCCUCACCAGGUGUACCCCCGGCGCCGCUGCUGCCACCUGGAGCAACCACAAAACACUUCACCACGGAGCCUCGCGCCCAGAGACACAGUCGAACAUUUGGACAGAGUGCAACCCUCACCGGCAGCCAUGAUGUAGGAGCCUGCAGCAGGGGAGGCCACGCCCGAGGGCUGGCUGGUGAUUGGGUCCCAGGCGUCGGAGGACGACAGGCAGUACAGGCCCUGUGAGACGUAUGUGUGAGGCCAGACAUCCGCAGAGGAGUGAUGGAGCACCUGGUCUGUAGGAGAAGGUGGACAGGUUGGUAUGCCCCGCGCCCCCCAUUGGGCCUGCAGAUGGUUUGCCCCAGCUUUGCCAUUCGAUCAUGUGAGCAACACGACCCUGGGCCAUGGCGGUGGGCUUGGUCACUUUGUCCUUCAUGGACCGAGUUACACCUACAACAGGGAAAGGAAGUUCAAGCCCUGUCAGACCUCAACAGCAACUUGACCCUCGACCCUCUGCGGAGCUUGUGGAGGCAACAUGGGGGCUGUUUUACCAUCUAUCAGCACAGACACACACCUGACACACCUGACAGAGAGGACUUAGCCAGGGCACCGAUCCCGUAGGAGUUGGCGGACUUCCUCUUGAGACGAGGCAGAAUGGAAGUAGUGUCCUCCAUGGACAACUAAAGAGAGAGGGGGGAG